UUUUGAUUUAAUCGGUGCGUGUCUAUGAUUUCAGUGUAUUGAAAGUUUCAAAAGUUCUUAUCAAAUUAAACCAAACACGAAUUAAUGUAGUGCCUAAUGUCAUGUGUAAUAAUAUCAUGUGAAAGAUAUAAAGCAAAACAUAAAAAGCAUAACAA